GAUGAACGCUAGCGGCAGGCCUAACACAUGCAAGUCGAACGGUAACAGAGAGAGCUUGCUCUUUGCUGACGAGUGGCGAACGGGUGAGUAACGCGUAUGCAACCUACCUUUAACUGGGAGAUAGCCCCGAGAAAUCGGGAUUAAUACCCCAUAACAUUACGAAAACUCAUGUUUUUGUAAUUAAAGCUUCGGCGGUUAAAGAUGGGCAUGCGGGACAUUAGCUAGUUGGUGAGGUAAUAGCUCACCAAGGCUACGAUGUCUAGGGGGCCUGAGAGGGUUAUCCCCCACACUGGUACUGAGACACGGACCAG
rnacentral:rRNA from 1 species